ACUAAGAUUGCAAUUAUUCCGCUCGGGAUCAUCAUCCUCUGAAUCACGGGAAAACAGCUCAAAAUGACAUUCGAAUUGUCAAAAACAAGAGGUUUUCCUGAGGCACGUGGAGAUUGCUGAACGAUUCUCGUACCACUUCAUUUCUCCUGAAAUUCGAAGGCAUUCUUUAUCGAAUAUUCAGGAGCUCGGGCAGCGAUUCCCUGUAAUACGUAACACAUGAAAUUUUUUUUACUGUCAUGUGUUUGUGUUGGUUCAUUGAUCCUCAAAAACGAUUGUUCCCGGUCAUUAGUCGCGACAGUUGCAACCGCAGAAGCUGCUAAAAGUCGUGCGUUACGUUCAUCGGCAAAGUGUCGUUACUUACGGCGCGAAACUGUUAGUACAGUAUGAGGCCCAAAAUUUAAUUUUCAGGACCGCUGCUGGUCCUGACGCCUGAUAAAUAAACUGGAUCUUAUUAUAGGUGAUAUAAGAAAAAAUGAAUAUGUUGCUAGAGGAGGUGAAACAUGCUUCAAUUUCUAAAUAACACCGGAGAAUGCCGAAAAACUUGCACAUGCUGGAGAAAAAAUUGAUUCCGUGGAAAUAAAAACAGUGCCGAUCAGCCGUCAAAAACAAUGGACAUUUUGAUCGUUCAACUGAAUUUAUAGUUUAGUGUAUAACAAAAAUUGAAUAAAUAUUUUCUUUUUAAAUUGAAAAA